rnacentral:rRNA from 1 species
CCCUUAGAUGUCCUGGGCUGCACGCGCGCUACACUGAUGUGUCCAGUAAGCACCUAACCUCUUCCGAAAGGAACGGGUAACCUUUGCAAAGCACAUCGUGAUGGGGAUGGAUUAUUGCAAUUAUUAGUCUUGAACGAGGAAUUCCUAGUAAGCACAAGUCAUCAGCUUGUGUUGAUUACGUCCCUGCCCUUUGUACACACCGCCCGUCGCUCCUACCGAUUGAAUGUUCCGGUGAGCUCUUCGGACUGCGCGGUCUGCAGUUUCUGCGUUCCGUGCGGAAAGUUGCGCAAACCUUAACAUUUAGAGGAAGGAGAAGUCGUAACA